GCAUUGGCCCUGGAUAUUGCUACCCACGUACGGCUCCGACCCCGCCCGGAGCUCAUCCUGCAGCCACUGCGUGGCCCUGGAUAUUGCUACCCACGUACGGCUCCGACCCCGCCCGGAGCUCAUCCUGCAGCCACUGCGUGGCCCUGGAUAUUGCUACCCACGUACGGCUCCGACCCCGCCCGGAGCUCAUCCUGCAGCCACUGCGUGGCCCUGGAUAUUGCUACCCACGUACGGCUCCGACCCCGCCCGGAGCUCAUCCUGCAGCCACUGCAUGGCCCUGGAUAUUGCUACCCACGUACGGCUCCGACCCCGCCCGGAGCUCAUCCUGCAGCCACUGCGUGGCCCUGGAUAUUGCUACCCACGUACGGCUCCGACCCCGCCCGGAGCUCAUCCUGCAGCCACUGCGUGGCCCUGGAUAUUGCUACCCACGUACGGCUCCGACCCCGCCCGGAGCUCAUCCUGCAGCCACUGCGUGGCCCUGGAUAUUGCUACCCACGUACGGCUCCGACCCCGCCCGGAGCUCAUCCUGCAGCCACUGCAUGGCCCUGGAUAUUGCUACCCACGUACGGCUCCGACCCCGCCCGGAGCUCAUCCUGCAGCCACUGCGUGGCCCUGGAUAUUGCUACCCACGUACGGCUCCGACCCCGCCCGGAGCUCAUCCUGCAGCCACUGCGUGGCCCUGGAUAUUGCUACCCACGUACGGCUCCGACCCCGCCCGGAGCUCAUCCUGCAGCCACUGCGUGGCCCUGGAUAUUGCUACCCACGUACGGCUCCGACCCCGCCCGGAGCUCAUCCUGCAGCCACUGCAUGGCCCUGGAUAUUGCUACCCACGUACGGCUCCGACCCCGCCCGGAGCUCAUCCUGCAGCCACUGCGUGGCCCUGGAUAUUGCUACCCACGUACGGCUCCGACCCCGCCCGGAGCUCAUCCUGCAGCCACUGCGUGGCCCUGGAUAUUGCUACCCACGUACGGCUCCGACCCCGCCCGGAGCUCAUCCUGCAGCCACUGCGUGGCCCUGGAUAUUGCUACCCACGUACGGCUCCGACCCCGCCCGGAGCUCAUCCUGCAGCCACUGCAUGGCCCUGGAUAUUGCUACCCACGUACGGCUCCGACCCCGCCCGGAGCUCAUCCUGCAGCCACUGCGUGGCCCUGGAUAUUGCUACCCACGUACGGCUCCGACCCCGCCCGGAGCUCAUCCUGCAGCCACUGCGUGGCCCUGGAUAUUGCUACCCACGUACGGCUCCGACCCCGCCCGGAGCUCAUCCUGCAGCCACUGCGUGGCCCUGGAUAUUGCUACCCACGUACGGCUCCGACCCCGCCCGGAGCUCAUCCUGCAGCCACUGCAUGGCCCUGGAUAUUGCUACCCACGUACGGCUCCGACCCCGCCCGGAGCUCAUCCUGCAGCCACUGCAUCGGCCCUGGAUAUUGCUACCCACGUACGGCUCCGACCCCGCCCGGAGCUCAUCCUGCAGCCACUGCAUCGGCCCUGGAUAUUGCUACCCACGUACGGCUCCGACCCCGCCUGGAACCAAGCUGAGUUUUGCCCUGAAUGUCGCGCGGAGCAGGCGCCACGGGAUACUCAUGAAUUGUGAGACAAACUGUUUCCCUUUGUUACUUUGCACCGGUUGCCCUCACGUUUCUGUCCCUGCCUGGGGUCUAGGAGAGCAGAAGUCCCCAGUGACGUUCUCAAGCUCGGUGCUUUACUGGUGACCCCUUUCCCGCAGCAGGUCACCAAGUGCCACGCCCGCAUGAUAAAGCACCUGUUUGCAUUUAACACUGUUCUAAAUGCUGGGAGCCACGCCGGGCUGGCAGCUCACCACCACCACAUAAAACCACCCGAGGGGUUCUGAUCCCCCGUUUGGGACUCCCCUCGACAGGGGCGGAUGAGAGCGCCGCAGAGCCCCGGGCAGCGAAAUUUCACAGGGCCCGUCCUUUGACACGGCACAUGC